UACGUAGGGUGCAAGCGUUGUCCGGAAUUAUUGGGCGUAAAGAGCUCGUAGGCGGUUUGUUGCGUCGGCUGUGAAAUCCCGAGGCUCAACCUCGGGUCUGCAGUCGAUACGAGCAAACUAGAGUGUUGCAGGGGAGACUGGAAUUCCUGGUGUAGCAGUGAAAUGCGCAGAUAUCAGGAGGAACACCAAUGGCGAAGGCAGCUCGCUGGGACGGUACUGACGCUGAGGCGCGAAAGCGUGGGGAGCAAACAGG
rnacentral:rRNA from 1 species